GCCUUCGUAGUGCAGUGGUCAGUACGCUCGUAUUCGAGAGGUCCGCGGUUCGAGUCCCGGUGAGGACA
rnacentral:tRNA from 1 species